rnacentral:rRNA from 1 species
GAGUUUGAUCGUGGCUCAGGAUGAACGCUGGCGGCGUGCUUAACACAUGCAAGUCGAACGAAGCGCCUUAUUUGAUUUUCUUCGGAACUGAAGAUUUGGUGACUGAGUGGCGGACGGGUGAGUAACGCGUGGGUAACCUGCCCUGUACAGGGGGAUAACAAUCAGAAAUGACUGCUAAUACCGCAUAAGACCACAGCACCGCAUGGUGCAGGGGUAAAAACUCCGGUGGUACAGGAUGGACCCGCGUCUGAUUAGCUGGUUGGUGAGGUAACGGCUCACCAAGGCGACGAUCAGUAGCCGGCUUGAGAGAGUGAACGGCCACAUUGGGACUGAGACACGGCCCAAACUCCUACGGGAGGCAGCAGUGGGGAAUAUUGCACAAUGGGGGAAACCCUGAUGCAGCAACGCCGCGUGAGUGAAGAAGUAUUUCGGUAUGUAAAGCUCUAUCAGCAGGGAAGAAAGUGACGGUACCUGACUAAGAAGCCCCGGCUAACUACGUGCCAGCCG